GACAGAGGUGCCGAGCGUUAGGCGGAAUCACUGGGCUUAAAGCGUGUGUAGGCGGACUUCUAAGUACCUUGUGAAAUCCCACGGCUUACCCGUGGAACUGCUGGGUAUACUGGUUGUCUUGAGCCACUUAGGGGCUACCGGAACAAAUGGUGGAGCGGUGAAAUGCGUAGAUAUCAUUUGGAACGCCAAUGGUGAAAACAGGUAGCUGGGAGUGUGCUGACGCUGAGACACGAAAGCCAGGGGAGCGAACGGG
rnacentral:rRNA from 1 species